UCCUGUAAGUUUUCUUUCGUAUAUAUUAAUUUACAUAUAUACAAUUUGUGAGGGUGUAAAGAGUGUAUAUAUGAAGCUUGAAACCUAUAAGUUGUAUAUCAAGAAUCCAAUGUCUUUUUAUUAGAAAUGCCAAAUCCACCAUGUUGAACUAACAAUGCUAGCGUCACAUAUAAUAUCCCCGCUCACUCUUGUUGUUGCACUAUGAAAUUCCUAAUUGCAAAGUCAAUCUCAAACGCAAUCUCGGUCACUGUUGGACUCAUAGUCUCUUUUGUCAUCCCUAAACCGACAGAGGUCUCGAAAAAAGCUUAGCGAUUGCUAGCUUGCAGUCUUCUUCGCCACCAUUUUUGGACUCAUGCUACAGCCUUUACUUGCUUGUGCAUGGUCCAUUGUCUGUUAAACAAUCUCACUCGUAAAAAGAACACAAAUGUUUGAAAAUGCAUUUUGUAGCUUUUACAAACGAAGCGAUAUGGUUGAUCAUGAUAUCAUUCUUCUUUAGUAAAGGGUUCGUGAAAACAGGUCUCAGUGAUGACAUGACGAUGUAUUUUGUAAGAUGGUUAGGCAAACGUAUUCUUGUUAAUUAACCUUUCGCUAAUUAGGCCCCAUAUUGUUAUGUUAAUGAUACCCAUAACACAUCCUCAAGUUUUACAUAACCAGCUGCAAAAUUGGUGCAUUUCUUACAGUGGGUGAACCGGUUCGUCAAGAUAACGCACAAGCCGGAUGCUCCUAUCAUGGCUAAAAAGAAAUUGGAUCAAAUGGGUCCUGUCAAAAGAAAUGAGUGGUCGGAUCAUGAUGGCAACCAAGCUCGUCAUUGUGACAUUAAUUAUAGUCGAAGCUAGGUUCCUGGAAGUCUUUCUACCUUGCUUUUGGCAUACAAUUAACAAAAAUCUUUUUGGCACACUCAGGCUCAAGUGUAUUAUGGAGCUCUGGCUAUGUAAAACUUUAGCAUGUUUUUAAGUUUGGGAUCUAGAUGGGCAUCAUCAACAUAACACUAUCGGGCCUAAUUAGUGAAAGGAUAAUUGGCAAGAAUAUUCCACCAGCUCUAGCGGUGGCGAUUGGCAUCACUAGUGACAGUAUGUCAACCCAUACGCUAAAACCAAUAUAUUUUUGCCUAACCAUAGAACAAAGUACAUGGCCAUGUGAUCACCGAGACCUGUUUUAACGAAACCUCUACUUAAGAAGAACGAUAUGACGAUAAACCAUAUGGCUUCAUUGGUAAAAGCUUCAUACGCAUUUCCAAACGUUUGUGUUUUUGUUAACAAUGAAAUUGUUAAACAAACAAUCAACCAUGCACCAACGGGUAAAGGUUGCAAGCAUGAGACCAAUAAUAAUAGUUGUUACAAAGAUUGCAAGCAAUCGCCAAGCUUGUUUCGAGACCUCUGUUGGUUUAGGGAUGGCAAAAUAGAUGAUGAGUCCAACAGUGACCGAGAUUGAGAGUAAGAUUGAAUUUGCACAUAGGAUUUUCAGAGAGCGACAACAAGAGUAAGUGAGGAUAGAUGUGACGCUAGCAUCGUUAAUUCCUGACGGUGGAUUUGGCAUUUCCAAUAAAAAAGACAUUGAAUUUCUCAUCAUGUAAUUUGUAGAUUUUAGGCCUCAAAUAUAUAUUCAGUCUACACACUCCCAAAUUUUAUAUUGUAUAUUAACAGUAUAUGUAAUGAUAAGUUGCAAUUCUUUA